GCUGAGGCAGACAACAGACAUAGCCUACUACAGAAACACAUGGAGCUGAGGCAGACAACAGACAUAGCCUACUACAGAAACACAUGGAGCUGAGGCAGACAACAGACAUAGCCUACUACAGAAACACAUGGAGCUGAGGCAGAGGACAGACAUAGCCUACUACAGAAACACAUGGAGCUGAGGCAGACAACAGACAUAGCCUACUACAGACACAUCGGGAAACAACAGACUACUCAUCCCAAAUAGGAAUUUGUGUGACCAAGGAAAGAGAAGAGUUAAUAAUUUCAGACAAAGCAGGUGAGGUGCAGCUGUCAAGGAGACUGAAAAGAACUGAGGCAGACGACAGACAUACUACAGAAACACCCGGAAACAACAGACUUCUCACACCCAAAGAAUUAAUCAUGUCAGGCAAAGCAGGGCACCAGACGUAUGGACCGUCCCCCUGUGGUCCUAAUGCCCUGUGUGUUGGUGACGGAAGCUCUGAGUGCAAACCUGGAUAUGAGAUACCUGACGGCCACCUACCCACUGGAG